GGGUCCGUAAAGGUUUCGACGGGGAUUUUGAAGCAGGAUAAGCGUGGCGUGCCGAGCAAUCACGAAAAAGGCUCAAACCUUAAAAUUAAACGCUGACGAAAACGUCGCACUGGCUGCCUAAUUAGGCGCCCGUUCCCCCGGGGAGUACCACGGCCUCGGCUGGAGCGUCAUGUAGUGGUGAACAUGCACCGAGAGUUCGCACUUGUAUCGGUCAUGCACAAAAGGGCUACCGGAGGGCGGAGGUUGUCUGUGAUCGCCGCCUGAAGGGAAUUUUAAAUCAUAGACUGUCCACGGAGAAGGUCUUGUGAAUGGAUUUUCGGACAGGGGUUCAACUCCCCUCGGAUCCACCA
rnacentral:tmRNA from 1 species